rnacentral:rRNA from 1 species
UGGGGUAAUUUUCCGCAAUGGGCGAAAGCCUGACGGAGCAAUGCCGCGUGGAGGUGGAAGGCCUACGGGUCGUCAACUUCUUUUCUCGGAGAAGAAACAAUGACGGUAUCUGAGGAAUAAGCAUCGGCUAACUCUGUGCAG